rnacentral:rRNA from 1 species
AUACGGAGGGUGCAAGCGUUAAUCGGAAUUACUGGGCGUAAAGGGCGCGUAGGCGGUUAAAUCAGUCAGAUGUGAAAGCCCCGGGCUUAACCUGGGAAUGGCAUUUGAUACUGUUUAGCUAGAGUUUGGUAGAGGGGAGUGGAAUUUCCGGUGUAGCGGUGAAAUGCGUAGAGAUCGGAAGGAACAUCAGUGGCGAAGGCGGCUCUCUGGACCAAAACUGACGCUGAGGUGCGAAAGCGUGGGUAGCAAACAGGAUUAGAAACCCCGGUAGUCC